UAGCCGUAAACGAUACUCGCUAGGUGUCGGCCACGGUGCGACCGUUGUCGGUGCCGUAGGGAAGCCGUGAAGCGAGCCACCUGGGAAGUACGGCCGCAAGGCUGAAACUUAAAGGAAUUGGGCGGGGGAGCACCACAACGGGUGGAGCUUGCGGUUUAAUUGGAUUCAACGCCGGAAAUCUUACCGGGACCGACAGCAACAUGAAGGCCAGGCUGAAGACUUUGCCGGAUUAGCUGAGAGGUGGUGCAUGGCGUAGUCG
rnacentral:rRNA from 1 species